rnacentral:ncRNA from 1 species
UUGGGAUCAAGGCAACCUGCGCGAAAGCGCAAGGGCGCAAAGCUACAGGGGCUAAUCGGCGGGAUGGACCGGACCUCCGCAAUUCGGGCGGACGGGCGGUUCGCGCCGGAUGCCAGCCAGCUGCCGAA